AGUGAACGCUGGCGGCAGGCCUAAUACAUGCAAGUCGAACGGCAGCACAGCAGAGCUUGCUCUGUGGGUGGCGAGUGGCGGACGGGUGAGGAAUACAUGGGAAUCUGCCCAGUCGUGGGGGAUAACGUAGGGAAACUUACGCUAAUACCGCAUGCGCCCUUCGGGGGAAAGCCGGGGACCUUCGGGCCUGGCGCGAUUGGAUGAGCCCAUGUCGGAUUAGCUAGUUGGUGAGGUAACGGCUCACCAAGGCGACGAUCCAUAGCUGGUCUGAGAGGAUGAUCAGCCACACUGGGACUGAGACACGGCCCAGACUCCUACGGGAGGCAGCAGUGGGGAAUAUUGGACAAUGGGCGCAAGCCUGAUCCAGCCAUGCCGCGUGAGUGAUGAAGGCCUUAGGGUUGUAAAGCUCUUUCAGUGGGGACGAUAAUGACGGUACCCACAGAAGAAGCCCCGGCUAACUUCGUGCCAGCAGCCGAC
rnacentral:rRNA from 1 species